UACGUAGGGUGCGAGCGUUGUCCGGAAUUAUUGGGCGUAAAGAGCUCGUAGGCGGUGUGUCGCGUCGAUCGUGAAAACCUGCAGCUUAACUGUGGGCUUGCGGUCGAUACGGGCAUCACUGGAGUUCGGCAGGGGAGACUGGAAUUCCUGGUGUAGCGGUGAAAUGCGCAGAUAUCAGGAGGAACACCGGUGGCGAAGGCGGGUCUCUGGGCCGAUACUGACGCUGAGGAGCAAAAGCGUGGGGAGCGAACAGG
rnacentral:rRNA from 1 species